GGGGUUGUGGCUCAGUGGUAGAGCACUCGCCUUGCUCAUGCGAGACCCUGGGUUCAAUCCUCAGCACCA
rnacentral:tRNA from 1 species